rnacentral:rRNA from 1 species
GACGAACGCUGGCGGCGUGCCUAAUACAUGCAAGUAGGACGCAGUUGCGAACGGGUGAGUAACGCGUAGGUAACUACCUAUUAGAGGGGGCUAACUAUUGGAAACGAUAGCUCAUACCGCAUACUAGUAGAUGGACCUGCGUUGUAUUAGCUUGUAGGUCGGGUAAUGGGCUACCUAGGAAACGAUACAUAGCCGACCUGGGGAGGUGGACGGCCAAACUUGGACUGAGGAAAGGCCCAGACUUCGACGGGGGGGAGCAGUAGGGAAACUUUGGAAAUGGGGGGAAACCUGACCGCGCAACGGCGCGGUGGUGAAGAAGGUCUUCGGGGCGGAAAGCUCUGUUGUUAAGGAAGCGGUACUUAACCAGAAAGGGACGGCUAACUACGUGCCAGCAGCCGCGGUAAUUC